GGCAGUGCAUCUGGAACUUGGUGAUGAAGGAGAACAGAACAAACUGGACAACUCCCCCAGCCAAAUGGUGACAGCAAAAAUAAGGUUGAACGGAAACUCUAGG